rnacentral:rRNA from 1 species
CGUUGUUCGGAAUUACUGGGCGUAAAGGGCUCGUAGGCGGCCAACUAAGUCAGACGUGAAAUCCCCAGGCUCAACCUGGGAACUGCGUCUGAUACUGGAUGGCUUGAAUCCGGGAGAGGGAUGCAGAAUUCCAGGUGUAGCGGUGAAAUGCGUAGAUAUCUGGAGGAAUACCGGUGGCGAAGGCGGCAUCCUGGACCGGCAUUGACGCUGAGGAGCGAAAGCCAGGGGAGCAAACGGG